rnacentral:rRNA from 1 species
UGCCAGACUCCUACGGGAGGCAGCAGUGGGGAAUAUUGCACAAUGGGGGGAACCCUGAUGCAGCGACGCCGCGUGGGCGAGGAAGUAUUUCGGUAUGUAAAGCCCUAUCGGCAGGGAAGAAGAAAUGACGGUACCUGAAUAAGAAGCACCGGCUAAAUACGUGCCAGCAGCCGCGGUAAUACGUAUGGUGCAAGCGUUAUCCGGAUUUACUGGGUGUAAAGGGAGCGUAGGCGGUUAGAUAAGUCUGAUGUGAAAGCCCACAGCUUAACUGUGGGAUUGCAUUGGAAACUAUAGAACUGGAGUGUCGGAGAGGUAAGUGGAAUUCCUAGUGUAGCGGUGAAAUGCGUAGAUAUUAGGAGGAACACCAGUGGCGAAGGCGGCUUACUGGACGAUGACUGACGCUGAGGCUCGAAAGCGUGGGGAGCAAACAGGAUUAGAUACCCGAGUA